GACGUGACUUCAGAGUUUGAUCCUGGCUCAGGAUGAACGCUAGCUACAGGCUUAACACAUGCAAGUCGAGGGGCAGCACUAGGUAGCAAUACUGAGGUGGCGACCGGCGCAAGGGUGCGUAACGCGUGAGCAACUUGCCCGUUUCUGGGGAAUAACCGGUGGAAACGCCGACUAAUACCCCAUAGUAUUGCGAGGAGGCAUCUCCUUGCACUUAAAGAAAUUCGGAAACGGAUAGGCUCGCGUGACAUUAGCUAGAUGGCGGGGUAACGGCCCACCAUGGCGACGAUGUCUAGGGGUUCUGAGAGGAAGGUCCCCCACACUGGAACUGAGACACGGUCCAG
rnacentral:rRNA from 1 species